UGGGGAAUAUUGCACAAUGGGCGAAAGCCUGAUGCAGCAACGCCGCGUGAGUGAUGAAGGUCUUCGGAUUGUAAAGCUCUGUCUUUUGGGACGAUAAUGACGGUACCAAAGGAGGAAGCCACGGCUAACUACGUGCCAGCAGCCGCGGUAAUACGUAGGUGGCGAGCGUUGUCCGGAUUUACUGGGCGUAAAGGGUGCGUAGGCGGAUGUUUAAGUGAGAUGUGAAAUACCCGGGCUUAACUUGGGUGCUGCAUUUCAAACUGGAUAUCUAGAGUGCAGGAGAGGAGAAUGGAAUUCCUAGUGUAGCGGUGAAAUGCGUAGAGAUUAGGAAGAACACCAGUGGCGAAGGCGAUUCUCUGGACUGUAACUGACGCUGAGGCACGAAAGCGUGGGUAGCAAACAGGAUUAGAUACCCUGGUAGUCCACGCCGUAAAACGAUGAGUACUAGGUGUAGGAGGUAUCGACCCCUUCUGUGCCGCAGUAAACACAUUAAGUACUCCGCCUGGGAAGUACGAUCGCAAGAU
rnacentral:rRNA from 1 species